rnacentral:rRNA from 1 species
GAUUAACGCUGGCGGCGUGCAUGAAACAUGCAAGUCGAGCGCGGUGCGAGCUUGCUCGCAUCUAGCGGCGCACGGGUGAGUAACACGUGAGCAACCUACCUCGGAGCCCGGGAUAGCCCUGAGAAAUCAGGAUUAAUACCGGAUGAUGUCACCGUGGGGCAUCCCAUGGCGAAGAAAGGCUUCGGCCACUCCAAGACGGGCUCGCGGCCUAUUAGC